rnacentral:lncRNA from 1 species
CGACGCUAGAGGAGGAGGAAUCCAUUUACUCCCUACUUCGUUUUUGUCUUGUGUUCACGAGAGCCCUGGCAUUGCAAGCUCCUGUAGGGCAGAUUUCAGCCCCCGGGAGGAAGAGACUGCGGCCCACCUCCAGACAUUCCUAAUGCCACGCCAAACUCGGGUAAACACACCAAGUUUGCCCACCAAAGCCAAGUGACAUAUUCGUGUAAUAAGGGCUUCAAACAAAUUCCAGACAAGCCAAACACAGUGGUCUGCCUUGAAAAUGACCAAUGGUCUAACUACGAAACUUUCUGUAAUAAAACCUGUAGUGCUCCACUGAGACUGAAUUAUGCAUCCCUCAAAAAGGAGUAUCGUAACAUGAAUUUUUUCCCAAUUGGCACCACUGUGGAAUUUGAGUGUCGGCCAGGAUUUCAAAAAGUAACUUCACGCACAGGAAAAUCAACUUGCCUUGAGGAAUUAGUAUGGUCUCCAGUUGUUGAAUUUUGUAAAAAAAGAGCAUGCCCUAAUCCUAGAGAACUGAAAAAUGGUCACAUCAACAUACCAACUGACAUAUUAUUCGGAUCAGAAAUAAUCUUCUCAUGCGACAAAGGGUACAAGCUGGUCGGUGUAACUUCUACAUUCUGUUCUAUUACGGGGAAUGCUGUGGACUGGGAUGACGUAUUUCCAGUGUGCACAACAAUUUUUUGUCCAGACCCACCAAAAAUCAAUAAUGGAAGAAUUCGAGAGGAAAGCGACUCCUACGCAUAUAGACAGUCGGUGACCUAUUCCUGUGACCAAGGCUUCAUUCUGGUUGGAAAUUCUUCCGUUCAUUGUACUCUGAACGGUGAAGUAGGAGAAUGGAGUAGUGCACCACCCAAGUGCAUAGAGAGACACAAGGUCCCAACUAAGACCCCACCAGAAGUUGAUAUUCCAAGUACAAUGCCUCAUGAAUCCACCUUAAUUAAUUUUCCAAGUACAAGAGCCCCACUGUCUCAUAAACCCACUACAGUUAAAGUUCCAGGUACAAGAGUCAAACCAACGUCUCACAAGCCCACUGAAGUUAAAGUUCCAGCAACACAGCAUGUACCUGUUUCCAAGACAACGGUACGUCAUCCAACGAGAACAUCUAAAGACAGAGGAGAGUCUAAUUCAGGUGGUGACCAUUUUAUAUAUGGUAAGUUUGACCCACAGGGAGUUAAAAGAAAUUGCCAUCACUGUGGGAGACAUAGUCCAUAUUUCUGGAAGAGAAUCUUCUCUUAUAACUGCCUGAGAAAAACUAUCAAAAUGCAGUGCCUAUGGGUGCCUAAGGGCAGAUGGGUAAAGCCUUUUAAUCGGCUGGUUUUUUGGACACCGUUAGGCAUCCAGCAUGGUCCUUCAUAUCCCCAACAGUGCUCCUGCUCUAAGGCAGUCUUAGGACAGCUUCGGGUCAUCUGGCCAAUCAGUCAGGUAGCACUGAGUGCCCGCUGUGUCAGUGUGUCAUUUUAGUGACAGAAGAAACCCAGGAACAACAGUCAAUACAGUUCUUAUCCAAAGAGCAUAGUUAACGCCAUCUCCAACCAUUUUUAGGUCUCUGUCAUAGGCCAAACGUGACCAAGAGCCCCACUUUUCAUUAUAUCUUUCCUUCAUCUCUAGUAAAGCUUUUAAGCAGAGUUCUUUUAGAAUAUAUUCUCUACAUGCUAAUAUAGUCGGCGAAGGUACAAAACUGUCUCUGUGUUGUGAUUCCUUUUAGCAUUUGGUCAGUAUUUUUUCUUUGUACAUUAUACUUACUGUUACUUAUUAAUAAGGU